rnacentral:sRNA from 1 species
GACGCAAUCCGCCUGCGCGCUGGGCGGGGAGGGGCGGGGCGGGGCGGGGUGUAGUGUGAGCGGACCGCGGGCGCUGGGCGGGUCCGCGGCGCGGUCGGUCGGCGCCUAUUCUCGGGCUCUUUGGCGGACGAAGCUUCACAAAAGAUGUCUAAGGUGAAUCAGGUCUAGGAAAAUCGACUCUCAUAAACAGCCUAUUCCUAACUGAUCUCUACCCAGAAAGAGUCAUACCUGGAGCAGCAGAAAAAAUUGAAAGAACUGUCCAGAUUGAGGCUUCAACUGUUGAAAUUGAAGAGCGAGGGGUCAAGCUACGCCUGACAGUGGUAGAUACCCCUGGCUAUGGUGACGCUAUCAACUGCAGAGAUUGUCACGUUCCUGAAAAGAAUUGGCAGCCCUGGCCAGGUGCGGUGGCUCACGCCUGUAAUCCCAGCACUUUGGGAGGCUGAGGUGGGCUGAUCACAAGGUCAGGAGUUCGAGACCAGCCUGGCCAACAUGGUGAAACCCUGUCA